UUCUUAAAACGGCUUUACAAUUUAUUAUAUUAAUAAAAGAACGCGUCUGUAUUAUUAUCGUUUCCUGUUUGUGUCCGUGCGCGAUCCACAGCCGAGUCUAUCGCACGUAGAGAUUGUGGAACAUUUGCAUAUCAUUGAGAUAUUCAGGACGUAGUUACGCGCGGUUCACCUCGGAGUCGGAUUUCCGAAAUGAAACCCCUAAAAUGCGACUAAUUUUUGGUACGUAUAUUUAAUUUUAGUUUUGUUGAUUUGUUGAUCAUCUUGGCGACAUGGAUGACAUGAAAAAAAAACUCCGUACAUAGUUAGAAAUCUGUAGAUGGUUUAGCGUUUUACU